AGGUGGUCAAAGAGGUGAGUGCAGCUGGAUGGAAGUUGAACAGCAUCAUGCCGGUUUUCCAAAUAAUAUUAAUCAUACUCUUUUCUUUUUUUUCUCAGAUGAAGGAAGGUGCAGCCGGGGAGUGGAGGAGGUGGAGGAGCGGGAUGAGCGUUUGGAGGAGGAUGAGCGGGUGGAGGCCGGGCCAAGCAGGGAGGUCGAUGAACAGAGGGCAACCUUCAAGGGGAUGGGGAGAGGUGCGGCCAUGCGGCAUCUGGUCCUCCCUCCCAGUAUUGGGAAAUGGAAAAAACUCUUUUGUGGGGGCAUACCAAUCCUUCCACGAAAGAAGCCACCGAACAAAUAAACAAGUGGAAAUUGCACUAUCAAAAGCCAGUCGGGUGAGGUCGUUUUUAUUCCACCUCUGUGGGUAAGAGCGACCUCGCCUCCUGGCUUUUCUUAGAUAUGCCCGGCAUUCAGAAAUACACAGCUGAACUGAUGCAAGAGGGCAAAGAGGUCACCACAAUAAACUAUUACCUCUGCAAUAUCCUGCAGUUUUUGACAUACCUGCAGGAGACCCCACCAAAGUCAUGCAGGUUGAGGAGGGCCCA